CCAACAACGAGAGUCGGCGUUCGUUGUUAUAACUGCAACAGCGUAGGUCAUUAUGCAGCCGACUGCAGCAAACCUCGUCGACAGCCUGGGACGUGCUAUGCGUGUGGCAGCGAAGAGCAUAUGGUCAGCGAUUGUGAAUUAAAUAAGAAGAAGAACGAUGAGAAAAUGAACCAUUAUAAUGCCUGAUAGACUCUGGUAGCCCGAUCAGUAUGAUAAGACAAGAUGUUUUACCGAAUGAAGUACAGACUUUUGAAUUUAAUAAUUUUUCAUUUUAUGGCAUAAACAAUUCUAAAUUGAAAAUACAUGGAAAAUGUUUUUGUUACAUUGAAGUACUUAAUAAAAAAAUGAAAUUUGAA